rnacentral:rRNA from 1 species
AUUGAACGCUGGCGGCAUGCCUUACACAUGCAAGUCGAACGGCAGCACGGGUGCUUGCACCUGGUGGCGAGUGGCGAACGGGUGAGUAAUACAUCGGAACAUGUCCUGUAGUGGGGGAUAGCCCGGCGAAAGCCGGAUUAAUACCGCAUACGAUCCACGGAUGAAAGCGGGGGACCUUCGGGCCUCGCGCUAUAGGGUUGGCCGAUAGCUGAUUAGCUAGUUGGUGGGGUAAAGGCCUACCAAGGCGACGAUCAGUAGCUGGUCUGAGAGGACGACCAGCCACACUGGGACUGAGACACGGCCCAGACUCCUACGGGAGGCAGCAGUGGGGAAUUUUGGACAAUGGGCGAAAGCCUGAUCCAGCAAUGCCGCGUGUGUGAAGAAGGCCUUCGGGUUGUAAAGCACUUUUGUCCGGAAAGAAAUCCUUGACUCUAAUACAGUCGGGGGAUGACGGUACCGGAAGAAUAAGCACCGGCUAACUACGUG